UUCCCACUGCGAUCCUCCUUGGGAUCCUUGCCUUCCUGGUUAUCCUAAUAAUUAUUCGGAUCUCUAAACAGCGUAGAUCAGGGAACCGUGGUCAAUUAGCGACGUACCAAGUACACGGCACUGCGGCUCAGUCCCAAGCACCGAUCCUUUACGCCUCUCUCGAGUUCGCUGCAUCAUCCUUACCCCGCAGAUGAGAAUCUGGUUGGAGAGUACGAAGAAGUGGACCGAAUCUGGGGUCACACUGAAACCCAC